GGCUCAGGAUGAACGCUAGCGGCAGGCUUAAUACAUGCAAGUCGUGGGGCAGCAUGAGUAGCAAUACUUGAUGGCGACCGGCAAACGGGUGAGGAACACGUACACAACCUUCCUUCAAGCGGGGAAUAGCCCAGAGAAAUUUGGAUUAAUACCCCAUAAUAUAUUUGAUAAGGCAUCUUAUUAAUAUUAAAGCUUCGGCACUUGAUGAUGGGUGUGCGGCUGAUUAGAUAGUUGGCGGGGUAACGGCCCACCAAGUCUACGAUCAGUAGCUGAUGUGAGAGCAUGAUCAGCCACACGGGCACUGAGACACGGGCCCGACUCCUACGGGAGGCAGCAGUAAGGAAUAUUGGAUAAUGGACGAAAGUCUGAUCCAGCCAUGCCGCGUGAAGGAUUAAGGUCCUCUGGAUUGUAAACUUCUUUUAUAUGGGACGAAAAAAGGGCAUUCUUGUUCACUUGACGGUACCAUAUGAAUAAGCACCGGCUAACUCCGUG
rnacentral:rRNA from 1 species